CGUAGGCGGGGCCCUGGCGCUCUCUCGGCCUUAGCGCCAUUUUUCUGGAAACCUCCGCGCCAUGAGAGCCAAGUGGAGGAAGAAGCGAAUGCGCAGGCUGAAGCGCAAAAGAAGAAAGAUGAGACAGAGGUCCAAGUAAACCGCUAGCUUGUGCACCCAUGGACGCCACAAGAGCAGAAAUAAGGAAAGCCAGAGGCCGGGGACGCUGGUACAAUUUGUUGGACUGCAUGCCUACUGUCUAGAACUUGUCUCAGUGGAUCUAGAACAUCUAUCGCCACCUGAUCGCCGCGACCACCUUUAAGAGACCCACCUUGCUCAUACCAAAACAGUUCCUUUUGGUCCUUUGCCCUGGGCCUGUGACGUUCUGGACUAGUUCUGUUCUCACUUGUGGCUGAAUGUAACACGUGUACAAUAAAUCAUCUCUUUUGCUGUCCUAGCUGAAGAAAAA